AAAGAAAUGCUUAUUCUGUGUUGAUAGGAAUAAAUGAAUGCAGAACAACGGAUGUAAUGUGUAAAGGGCAUCUUAAGUUUCCCCUUUCUUCAAUACAAGAGGUCCAAGAUUAUUAUUUGUAUGAUUCUAAAUGGACCAUCAGACUAAUAAAAACAAAAGACCCCAUUUAAAUGCCACCCUAGCAGCAAACAAACACCAGUUUUGACACGGAG
rnacentral:misc_RNA from 1 species